UCUGGGUGUAGGCUUGUCUGGGUGUAGGCUUGUCUGGGUGUAGGCUUGUCUGGGUGUAGGCUUGUCUGGGUGUAGGCUUGUCUGGGUGUAGGUUUGUCUGAGUGUAGGUUUGUCUGAGUGUAGGUUUGUCUGAGUGUAGGUUUGUCUGGGUGUAGGUUUGUCUGGGUGUAGGUUUGUCUGGGUGUAGGUUUGUCUGGGUGUAGGUUUGUCUGGGUGUAGGUUUGUCUGGGUGUAGGUUUGUCUGGGUGUAGGUUUGUCUGAGUGUAGGUUUGUCUGAGUGUAGGUUUGUCUGGGUGUAGGUUUGUCUGGGUGUAGGUUUGUCUGGGUGCAGGUUUGUCUGGGUGCAGGUUUGUCUUACAGGUUUGUCUGGGUGUAGGUUUGUCUUGCAGGUUUGUCUGGGUGUAGGUUUGUCUGGGUGUAGGUUUGUCUGGGUGUAGGUUUGUCUGGGUGUAGGUUUGUCUGGGUGUAGGUUUGUCUGGGUGUAGGUUUGUCUGGGUGUAGGUUUGUCUGGGUGUAGGUUUGUCUGGGUGUAGGUUUGUCUGGGUGUAGGUUUGUCUGGGUGUAGGUUUGUCUGGGUGUAGGUUUGUCUGGGUGUAGGUUUGUCUGGGUGUAGGUUUGUCUGGGUGUAGGUUUGUCUGGGUGUAGGUUUGUCUGAGUGUAGGUUUGUCUGAGUGUAGGUUUGUCAGAGUGUUUGUCUUUCUGGAUCUAGGUUUGUCUGUCUGGAUGCAGGUUUGUCUGAGUGUGUGUGUUUGUCUGAGUGUGUGUGUGUUUGUGUCUGAGUGUGUGUGUGUGUGUGUGUUUGUCUGAGUGUGUGUGUGUGUGUGUUUGUCUGAGUGUUUGA